GACGAACGCUGGCGGCGUGCUUAACACAUGCAAGUCGAACGGAAAGGCCCGGCGUUUGCUGGUUUCUCGUGUGGCGAACGCGUGAGUAACACGUGAGUAACCUGUACUUGACUUUCGGAUAACUUCAGGAAACUCGGGCUAUUACCGGAUAUGAUCUCCUGCUGCAUGGUGGGGGUUGGAAAGAUUCGGCGGUUGGGGAUGGACUCGCGGCUUAUCAGCUUGUUUGUGGGGUAGUGGCUUACCAAGGCUUUGACGGGUAGGCGGCCUGGGAGGGUGACCGGCCACAUUGGGCCUGAGAUACGGCGCAGAAUCCUACGGGAGGCAGCAGUGGGGAAUAUUGCACAAUGGGCGGAAGCCUGAUGCAGCAACGCCGCGUGCGGGAUGACGGCCUUCGGGUUGCAAACAGCUUUCGACUGUGACGAAGAGUGAGUGACGGUAAUGGGUAAAGAAGCACCGGCUAACUACGUG
rnacentral:rRNA from 1 species